UCCCUGGUGGUCCAGUGGGUAAGAUUUAGUGCUCCCAAUCCUGGAGGCCUGGGUCCAAUUCCUGGUCAGGGAA
rnacentral:tRNA from 1 species